rnacentral:rRNA from 1 species
AUCGACGGCGGUGUUUGGCACCUCGAUGUCGGCUCAUCACAUCCUGGGGCUGAAGCCGGUCCCAAGGGUAUGGCUGUUCGCCAUUUAAAGNGGUACGCGAGCUGGGUUUAGAACGUCGUGAGACAGUUCGGUCCCUAUCUGCCGUGGGCGUUGGAGAUUUGAGAGGAGCUGCUCCUAGUACGAGAGGACCGGAGUGGACGAACCUCUGGUGUUCCGGUUGUCACGCCAGUGGCACUGCCGGGUAGCUACGUUCGGACGGGAUAACCGCUGAAAGCAUCUAAGCGGGAAGCCUCCCUCAAGAUGAGAUCUCCCUGGGCACUUGAUGCCCCUGAAGGGCCGUGGAAGACCACCACGUUGAUAGGCGGGAUGUGGACGCGCUGUGAGGCGUGAAGCUAACCCGUACUAAUUGCCCGUGCGGCUUGACCAUAUAACGCCAAAGCGGUCAC